GUUCCCGUACGAUCACCGAAGUUAAGCAACGUUGAGCCUGGUCAGUACCUAGAUGGGUGACCGUCUGGAAAUACCCGGUGCUGUAAG